rnacentral:rRNA from 1 species
GACGAACGCUGGCGGCGUGCUUAACACAUGCAAGUCGAACGGAAAGGCCCUGCUUUUGUGGGGUGCUCGAGUGGCGAACGGGUGAGUAACACGUGAGUAACCUGCCCUUGACUUUGGGAUAACUUCAGGAAACUGGGGCUAAUACCGGAUAGGAGCCCCUGCUGCAUGGUGGGGGUUGGAAAGUUUCGGCGGUUGGGGAUGGACUCGCGGCUUAUCAGCUUGUUGGUGGGGUAGUGGCUUACCAAGGCUUUGACGGGUAGCCGGCCUGAGAGGGUGACCGGCCACAGUGGGUGAGAGAUACGGCCGAGACUCCUGGGGGGGGCAGCAGGGGGAAAUAUUGCACAAGGGGCGGACGCGUGAUACAGAAGCGCCGCGUGGGGGAUGAGGGCUUUGGGGUUGAAAACCGCUUUCGCGUGUGACGAAGCGUGAGUGGCGGAAGUGGGAAAAGACGCACCGGAAAAAUACG